AGACAGCCCGCCCGCCGAGCUGCCCACCCGGCCGAGCUGUACUUUGUGGAUGCCAACAUGCCGACAUGCUGGAAUUUGUUAGUACUUCAAGAUCAUAUAAUGGAAAAUUGUAUCCAAACUGAAGUAUAAUUUGACGAGCCUGGUUGCUGUAGCCACAGGGGAAUUUUCAAGGACAAGAACCAGUGCUGGUAAAAAUGUGGUCUCAUGUGGUUUUCCAUACCGGCAUUCAGCAAGGAUUUCAGAGAAAGGAAUACUGUCUCCAAAUCAUGAUGUGCCAAUAAGCUCCAGUUAGCUGUGCCUUUUUCCUCCCACCGGUAGUCCUUCAAUCUGAAUCCAGGAGUUGCAGCUCUGAAUCCAAUAUUUCAGGAGAAUGAAUAUAAAACUGAAGCCUUCAGGAAGUCAACGCCACCAUGGUAUUGAUUUAUUCAACUCUGAUGUACUCAGCUGUGAUGUAACAUGCCUUCAAGCCACUAUCCGAAGAACAUUCAGACGUUCUAAAUGGACCAUUGCCCUGUUGCCAUGGAAAUCAUUAUGAGGAGGAGCACACAAACUGUCACUUGUUUUGGAUAUCAGAAGUACCACGAACUGACCAUAAACUUUUCAGAUGCUCUGUUUAUUUCAUCAGCCAAUUUCGAUGUAAAUUUUACUGAAUAAUGACAAACAGUCUUACUCAUAAGCAUCUCUUACUCAUUCGUAUUCCACAACUAAACAUGCUUGCAAUUACACUGUGUCAUCUAUCAUAAUAUAGCAAUGCUGCAAUGUCCACAUUUUUUUGUACCAGUUGUUGCUUUAUACUGAAACUUUUAUUGAAAAUGGUGCAUAAACACUGGCAACACAUCAAUGUUUCGUUCAUACAUGUGUACAUGUUCUUUCAGUGUUGAUAAUGUUGACAUAUUUCAUGUACAUUUACACAUGUGUUUAUUGCCAACCUCAUCAAAACAUGCAUAGUUUGCUCACAUACAUAUUUCCAAAACAGACAUUUACUGAAUGUAU